GAACGAGAUUUCAGGGGCAAAAGCUUACAUCUUACCCUCUUCAAACCUAUUCUCUUCAUUUCUGUUAAUGUGUUGAAUUAGUUGGUUCUCUUGUAAUAUUCAGACCUCUAAAUUGGAUUCUCUUGUAAUAUUCACACCCUUUUAUUUUCUAUGCUUGAAAUGACACCACAUUUUGGUUGCCUAUGCAGCUGUUCCUAUUAUGAUCUGCAAUUUAAACCUAUUCUCUUCAUUUCUGUUAAUGUGUUGAAUUAGUUGGUUCUCUUGUAAUAUUCAGACCUCUAAAUUGGAUUCUCUUGUAAUAUUCACAACCUUUUAUUUUCUAUGCUUGAAAUGACACCACAUUUUGGUUGCCAAUGCAGCUGUUCCUAUUAUGAUCUGCAAUUUUUAUGAGUUGAGGGUAAUCUGAGUAAUAUA
rnacentral:lncRNA from 1 species